GCAAGUCGAGCGAGAAAAUUCCUUCGGGUGCGAGUAGAGUGGCGGACGGGUGAGUAACGCGUGGGAAUCUGCCCUGCAGUGGGGGACAACCCGAGGAAACUCGGGCUAAUACCGCAUACGUCCUACGGGAGAAAGGGGGCUUCGGCUCUCGCUGCAGGAUGAGCCCGCGUCCGAUUAGCUUGUUGGUGGGGUAACGGCCCACCAAGGCGACGAUCGGUAGCUGGUCUGAGAGGAUGAUC
rnacentral:rRNA from 1 species